UUGGGAAUCUUGGACAAUGGGGGCAACCCUGAUCCAGCCAUGCCGCGUGAGUGAUGAAGGCCAUAGGGUCGUAAAGCUCUUUCGCCUGUGAAGAUAAUGACGGUAGCAGGUAAAGAAACCCCGGCUAACUCCGUGCCAGCAGCCGCGGUAAUACGGAGGGGGUUAGCGUUGUUUGGAAUUACUGGGCGUAAAGCGCACGUAGGCGGAUCUUUAAGUCGGGGGUGAAAUCCCGGGGCUCAACCCCGGAACUGCCUUCGAUACUGGGGAUCUUGAGGUGGAGAGAGGUGAGUGGAAUUCCGAGUGUAGAGGUGAAAUUCGUAGAUAUUCGGAGGAACACCAGUGGCGAAGGCGGCUCACUGGCUCGAUACUGACGCUGAGGUGCGAAAGUGUGGGGAGCAAACAGGAUUAGAUACCCGUGUAGUCC
rnacentral:rRNA from 1 species